rnacentral:SRP_RNA from 1 species
CGCUUCCCGGUCACGAACCGGCCGGGCUGGCAGUUCGACGGCGCACUGGGCCUGCGCAAGCUGUGCGAG